rnacentral:rRNA from 1 species
CCUACGGGAGGCAGCAGUGAGGAAUAUUGGUCAAUGGGCGAGAGCCUGAACCAGCCAAGUCGCGUGAAGGAUGACUGCCCUAUGGGUUGUAAACUUCUUUUAUAUGGGAAUAAAGUGAGGAACGUGUGCCUUUUUGUAUGUACCAUAUGAAUAAGCAUCGGCUAACUCCGUGCCAGCAGCCGCGGUAAUACGGAGGAUCCGAGCGUUAUCCGGAUUUAUUGGGUUUAAAGGGUGCGUAGGUGGGUUAUUAAGUCAGUGGUGAAAGUUUGUGGCUCAACCAUAAAAUUGCCAUUGAUACUGGCAGACUUGAGUACAGUUGAGGUAGGCGGAAUUCGUGGUGUAGCGGUGAAAUGCAUAGAUAUCACGUAGAACUCCGAUUGCGAAGGCAGCUUACUAAACUAUCACUGACACUGAUGCACGAAAGCGUGGGUAUCAAACAGGAUUAGAUACCCUAGUAGUC